GGAAAGUUUAAGCAAGUUGCCCAAGGUCAUGGAGCUGAUGAGAGAGAGCUGGGAUUUGAAUUAAGGCAUGGUCUAUUUCCAUACUCCCUGCUCUCUCUCACUAAUUCCCCAUUACUCUAGAAAAUGAAACAGCUACAGAAGGCUGGGAGCCAGUCACACCCAGGGUAUAAUGCCGAAGGAGAAGGGAGCAAGACUGUUGGUGGGACAUGGUUGUCCCACAGCAAGACUGUUGGUGGGACAGGGCUCCGACUGCCCUGGCCCUCUGCAGAGCCUCCUGAGAAGUGAAUUUGGAGAUAAGGAGCAGCUGGCUGAGGGAGGAGCGCCCCAGUAUCUGUAUUGA
rnacentral:lncRNA from 1 species